UCCCAGCCUGCUUUACUAUAGCACCCAGGGC
rnacentral:piRNA from 1 species